rnacentral:rRNA from 1 species
AUUGAACGCUGGCGGCAGGCUUAAUACAUGCAAGUCGAGCGAGCGGCGGACGGGUGAGUAAUGUAUGGGAAACUGCCUGAUGGAGGGGGAUAACUACUGGAAACGGUAGCUAAUACCGAAUAGCCUCAGAUGUGCCCAGAUGGGUUUAGCUAGUAGGUGGGGUAAUGGCGCACCUAGGAGACGAUCCCUAGCUGGUCUGAGAGGUUGACCGGCCAAACUGGAACUGAGACACGGUCCAGACUCCUACGGGAGGCAGCAGUGGGGAAUAUUGCACAAUGGGCGCAAGCCUGAUGCAGCCAUGCCGCGUGUGUGAAGAAGGCCUUCGGGUUGUAAAGCACUUUCAGCGAGGAGGCGUUACUCGCAGAAGAAGCACCGGCUAACUCCGUGCCAGCAGCCGCGGUAAUAC